AUUGAACGCUGGCGGCAUGCCUUACACAUGCAAGUCGAACGGUAACAGGUCUUCGGAUGCUGACGAGUGGCGAACGGGUGAGUAAUACAUCGGAACGUGCCUAGUAGUGGGGGAUAACUACUCGAAAGAGUGGCUAAUACCGCAUGAGAUCUACGGAUGAAAGCAGGGGACCGCAAGACCUUGUGCUACUAGAGCGGCCGAUGGCAGAUUAGGUAGUUGGUGGGAUAAAAGCUUACCAAGCCGACGAUCUGUAGCUGGUCUGAGAGGACGAUCAGCCACACUGGGACUGAGACACGGCCCAGACCCCUACGGGAGGCAGCAGUGGGGAAUUUUGGACAAUGGGCGCAAGCCUGAUCCAGCAAUGCCGCGUGCAGGAUGAAGGCCUUCGGGUUGUAAACUGCUUUUGUACGGAACGAAAAGCCCUGGGUUAAUACCCUGGGGUCAUGACGGUACCGUAAGAAUAAGCACCGGCUAACUACGUGCCAGCCGCCGCAGUAAAAC
rnacentral:rRNA from 1 species